GAUGCAGGGUGCGCAGGGAUCCCACCUGGAGAGUCGGGGCGGCACGUUGAGACCCCAGGGGUGAAGGGCGGGGGAUCCCAAUCCCAGCCCUGUUUUCCCCUCCCCUUUCCCCGCCUCCUUCUCGCCCCUCCCCCCUCCUCCCCUCUGGUUGGAAAGUUUCUAGAAUCUCUUCCCAGCGGCCUUUGCGGUUCCAACAUGGCGGAGCUGACGGUGGAGGUUCGCGGCUCUAACGGGGCUUUCUACAAGGGAUUUAUCAAAGAUGUUCAUGAAGACUCCCUUACAGUUGUUUUUGAAAAUAAGUAUAUUCAAGAGCAAAUGACCAAGAGCCAUGUGGGUGGUGGUUGGCUAAAGUUCGGAUGAUGAAAGGAGAAUUUUAUGUCAUUGAAUAUGCUGCUUGUGACGCUACUUACAAUGAAAUAGUCACAUUUGAACGACUUCGGCCUGUCAAUCAAAAUAAAACUGUCAAAAAAAAUACCUUCUUUAAAUGCACAGUGGAUGUUCCUGAGGAUUUGAGAGAGGCGUGUGCUAAUGAAAAUGCACAUAAAGAUUUUAAGAAAGCAGUAGGAGCAUGCAGAAUUUUUUACCAUCCGGAAACAACACAGCUAAUGAUACUGUCUGCCAGUGAAGCAACUGUGAAGAGAGUAAACAUCUUAAGUGACAUGCAUUUGCGAAGUAUUCGUACGAAGUUGAUGCUUAUGUCCAGAAAUGAAGAGGCCACUAAGCAUUUAGAAUGCACAAAACAACUUGCAGCAGCUUUUCAUGAGGAAUUUGUUGUGAGAGAAGAUUUAAUGGGCCUGGCAAUAGGAACACAUGGUAGUAACAUCCAGCAAGCUAGGAAGGUUCCUGGAGUUACUGCCAUUGAGCUAGAUGAAGAUACUGGAACAUUCAGAAUCUACGGAGAGAGUGCUGAUGCUGUAAAAAAGGCUAGAGGUUUCUUGGAAUUUGUGGAGGAUUUUAUUCAGGUUCCUAGGAAUCUCGUUGGAAAAGUAAUUGGAAAAAAUGGCAAAGUUAUUCAAGAAAUAGUGGACAAAUCUGGUGUGGUUCGAGUGAGAAUUGAAGGGGACAAUGAAAAUAAAUUACCCAGAGAAGACGGUAUGGUUCCAUUUGUAUUUGUUGGCACUAAAGAAAGCAUUGGAAAUGUGCAGGUUCUUCUAGAGUAUCAUAUUGCCUAUCUAAAGGAAGUAGAACAGCUAAGAAUGGAACGCCUACAGAUUGAUGAACAGCUGCGACAGAUUGGUAUGGGUUUCAGACCUUCUUCCACCAGAGGGCCUGAAAAAGAGAAAGGAUAUGCCACUGAUGAAAGUACCGUCUCUUCUGUACAAGGUUCUAGGUCUUAUAGCGGAAGAGGCAGAGGUCGUCGGGGACCUAAUUACACCUCCGGUUAUGGUACAAAUUCUGAGCUGUCUAACCCCUCUGAAACGGAAUCUGAGCGUAAAGACGAGCUGAGUGAUUGGUCAUUGGCAGGAGAAGAUGAUCGAGACAGCCGACAUCAGCGUGACAGCAGGAGACGCCCAGGAGGAAGAGGCAGAAGUGUUUCAGGGGGUCGAGGUCGUGGUGGACCACGUGGUGGCAAAUCCUCCAUCAGUUCUGUGCUCAAAGAUCCAGACAGCAAUCCAUACAGCUUACUUGAUAAUACAGAAUCAGAUCAGACUGCAGACACUGAUGCCAGCGAAUCUCAUCACAGUACUAACCGUCGUAGGCGGUCUCGUAGACGAAGGACUGAUGAAGAUGCUGUUCUGAUGGAUGGAAUGACUGAAUCUGAUACAGCUUCAGUUAAUGAAAAUGGGCUAGUCACAGUUGCAGAUUAUAUUUCUAGAGCUGAGUCUCAGAGCAGACAAAGAAACCUCCCAAGGGAAACUUUGGCUAAAAACAAGAAAGAAAUGGCAAAAGAUGUGAUUGAAGAGCAUGGUCCUUCAGAAAAGGCAAUAAACGGCCCAACUAGUGCUUCUGGCGAUGACAUUUCUAAGCUACAGCGUACUCCAGGAGAAGAAAAGAUUAAUACCUUAAAAGAAGAAAACACUCAAGAAGCAGCAGUCCUGAAUGGUGUUUCAUAAACUGAAGAAGUUCCUAGUUUACAGUUCUUUUACAUUACAUUUACAAUAGUGCUUGUACAAGCUUGCCAAAGAUAGAAUAUGGAUCGCCAGUCUUUACAUCGCACUUUCAGUUCCUCCAUUUGGAAUUCAAAAAGGGGAGGGAUCCUGAAGAAAUCAUAUGUUAAACAUACUUUGACACCUACUGUGUUAUAAAAUAUAUCAUCAGAUGUGCCUUGAGAAUAGUAUAUGUAACAUUAAAAAAAAGUUGCUGGCUAUAGGAAAUGUUAUUUUGUUUUCAAAAUAUGGCA
rnacentral:sRNA from 1 species